rnacentral:rRNA from 1 species
CCUACGGGUGGCAGCAGUGAGGAAUAUUGGUCAAUGGACGAGAGUCUGAACCAGCCAAGUAGCGUGAAGGAUGACUGCCCUAUGGGUUGUAAACUUCUUUUAUAAAGGAAUAAAACGAGGCACGUGUGCCUUUUUGCAUGGUCUUUAUGAAUAAGGAUCGGCUAACUCCGGGCCAGCAGCCGCAGUAAUACGGAGGAUCCGGGGGGUAUCCGGGUUUAUUGGGGUUAAAGGGGGCGUAGAUGGGUUGUUCAGGCAGGUGUGAAAGAUUGCGGCUCAACCGUAAAAUUGCAAUUGAUACUGGCAGUCUUGAGUACAGUUGAGGUAGGCGGAAUUCGUGGUGUAGCGGUGAAAUGCUUAGAUAUCACGCAGAACCCCGAUUGCGAAGGCAGCUUACUAAACUGUGACUGACAUUGAUGCUCGAAAGUGUGGGUAUCAAACAGGAUUAGAUACCCUUGUAGUC